GGGCGGUUAGCUCAGCUGGGAGAGCACCUGCCUUACACGCAGGGGGUCGGCGGUUCGAUCCCGUCACCGCCCA
rnacentral:tRNA from 1 species